rnacentral:rRNA from 1 species
CCUACGGGUGGCUGCAGUGGGGAAUUUUGGACAAUGGGGGCAACCCUGAUCCAGCAAUGCCGCGUGAGUGAAGAAGGCCUUCGGGUUGUAAAGCUCUUUUGUCAGGGAAGAAACGGUGAGGGCUAAUAUCCUUUGCUAAUGACGGUACCUGAAGAAUAAGCACCGGCUAACUACGUGCCAGCAGCCGCGGUAAUACGUAGGGUGCAAGCGUUAAUCGGAAUUACUGGGCGUAAAGCGUGCACAGGCGGUUAUACAAGACAGAUGUGAAAUCCCCGGGCUCAACCUGGGAAUUGCAUUUGUGACUGUAUGGCUAGAGUGUGUCAGAGGGGGGUAGAAUUCCACGUGUAGCAGUGAAAUGCGUAGAUAUGUGGAGGAAUACCGAUGGCGAAGGCAGCCCCCUGGGAUAACACUGACGCUCAUGCACGAAAGCGUGGGGAGCAAACAGGAUUAGAUACCCCUGUAGUC